rnacentral:rRNA from 1 species
UACGUAGGGUGCGAGCGUUAAUCGGAAUUACUGGGCGUAAAGGGUGCGUAGGCGGUUCGUUAAGUCUGUCGUGAAAUCCCCGGGCUUAACCUGGGAAUGGCAUUGGUGACUGCACGGCUAGAGUGUGUCAGAGGGGGGUAGAAUUCCACGUGUAGCAGUGAAAUGCGUAGAGAUGUGGAGGAAUACCGAUGGCGAAGGCAGCCCCCUGGGAUAACACUGACGCUCAUGCACGAAAGCGUGGGGAGCAAACAGG